GGUCCGAACCCACGAGCGUUGAAAAGCUCGGGGAUGACUUGUGGGUAGCGGUGAAAUUCCAAUCGAGCCCGGAGAUAGCUGGUUCUCCCCGAAAUAGCUUUAGGGCUAGCCUCAAGGUGAGAGAUACGGAGGUAGAGCACUGAAUGUCCUAGGGGGUAUUGCACCUACCGAAGACUAUCAAACUCCGAAUGCCGUCAUCUUAUACUUGGGAGUCAGACUGUGGGUGAUAAGAUUCAUAGUCGAAAGGGCAACAGCCCAGAUCGUCAGCUAAGGUCCCUAAAUGUAAGUUAAGUGGUAAAGGAUGUGGGAUUGCACAGACAACCAGGAUGUUGGCUUAGAAGCAGCCACUCAUUCAAAGAGUGCGUAAUAGCUCACUGGUCGAGUGAUCCUGCGCCGAAGAUUUCCGGGGCUAAAACUUACUACCGAAGCUACGGCAUCAGUAAUGAUGGGUAGGGGAGCUUCCCAUACGGGUUGAAGCAUGACCGUAAGGACAUGUGGACAGUAUGGGAGUGAGAAUGUUGGCAUGAGUAGCGAGAUGUGGGUGAGAAUCCCACAGGCCGUAAACCCAAGGUUUCCAGGGGAAGGUUCGUCCGCCCUGGGUUAGUCGGGACCUAAGCUGAGGCCGAAAGGCGUAGGUGAUGGACAACAGGUUGAUAUUCCUGUACUACCGAUAACCGUUUGAGAGAAGGGAUGACACAGUAGGAUAAGCUAAGCACACUGUUGGUUAUGUGUGCCCAAGCAUUGAGGCAGUCAAAGUAGGCAAAUCCGCUUUGAUAAUGCUGGGAUGUGAUGGGGAGCGAAAUUUAGUAGCGAAGUAGCUGAUUUCACACUGUCAAGAAAAGUCUCUAUCGAGGUUAAAGGUACCCGUACCGCAAACCGACACAGGUGGGUGAGGAGAGUAUCCGAAGGCCAGCGAGAGAACUGUUGUUAAGGAACUCGGCAAAAUGACCCCGUAACUUAGGGAUAAGGGGUGCCACCAUCAGGUGGCCGCAGAGAAUAGGCCCAAGCGACUGUUUACCAAAAACAUAGGUUUCUGCUAAGUCGCAAGACGAUGUAUAGGAGCUGACGCCUGCCCGGUGCUGGAAG
rnacentral:rRNA from 1 species